GAGGUGGCGACCGGCGCACGGGUGAGUAACACGUAUGCAACCUGCCUGUAAGCGGGGAAUAACCCGUUGAAAGACGGACUAAUACCGCAUAAUACUAAAUUACUGCAUGGUAAUUUAUUUAAACAUUUAUGGCUUACAGAUGGGCAUGCGCAUGAUUAGCUAGUUGGAGAGGUAACGGCUCCCCAAGGCAACGAUCAUUAGGGGUUCUGAGAGGAAGGUCCCCCCACACUGGUACUGAGACACGGACCAGACUCCUACGGGAGGCAGCAGUGAGGAAUAUUGGUCAAUGGACGAGAGUCUGAACCAGCCAAGUCGCGUGCAGGAAGAAUUGUCCUAUGGAUUGUAAACUGCUUUUGCAGGGGAAUAAAGUGCAUCACGUGUGAUGUUUUGUAUGUACUCUGCGAAUAAGGAUCGGCUAACUCCGUGCCAGCCGCCGC
rnacentral:rRNA from 1 species